rnacentral:rRNA from 1 species
GACGAACGCUGGCGGCGUGCUUAACACAUGCCAGUCGAACGGAAAGGCCCUGCUUUUGUGGGGUGCUCGAGUGGCGAACAGGUGAGUAACACGUGAGUAACCUGCCCUUGACUUUGGGAUAACUUCAGGAAACUGGGGCUAAUACCGGAUAGGAGCUCCUGCUGCAUGGAGGGGGUUGGAAAGUUUCGGCGGUUGGGGAUGGACUCGCGGCUUAUCAGCUUGUUGGUGGGGUAGUGGCUUACCAAGGCUUUGACGGGUAGCCGGCCUGAGAGGGUGACCGGCCACCUUGGGACUGCGAUACGGCCCAGACUCCUAUGGUAGGCAGCAGUGGGGAAUAUUGCACAAUGGGCGCGAGCCUGAUGCAGCAACGCCGCGUGCGUGAUGACGGCCUUCGGGUUGUAAACCGCUUUCGCCUGUGACGAAGCGUUAGUGACGGUAAUGGGUGAAGAAGCACCGGCUAACUACGUG